rnacentral:rRNA from 1 species
UACGUAGGGUGCGAGCGUUGUCCGGAAUUACUGGGCGUAAAGAGCUCGUAGGUGGUUUGUCGCGUUGUUCGUGAAAACUCACAACUCAAUUGUGGGCGUGCGGGCGAUACGGGCAGACUGGAGUACUGCAGGGGAGACUGGAAUUCCUGGUGUAGCGGUGGAAUGCGCAGAUAUCAGGAGGAACACCGGUUGCGAAGGCGGGUCGCUGGGCAGGAACUGACGCUGAGGAGCGAAAGCGUGGGGAGCGAACAGG